GUGCACGCUGGCGGUAGGCCUAACACAUGCAAGUCGAACGGCAGCACAGUAAGAGCUUGCUCUUACGGGUGGCGAGUGGCGGACGGGUGAGGAAUACAUCGGAAUCUACUUUUUCGUGGGGGAUAACGUAGGGAAACUUACGCUAACACCGCAUACGACCUACGGGUGAAAGCAGGGGAUCUUCGGACCUUGCGCGAUUGAAUGAGCCGAUGUCGGAUUAGCUAGUUGGCGGGGUAAAGGCCCACCAAGGCGACGAUCCGUAGCUGGUCUGAGAGGAUGAUCAGCCACACUGGAACUGAGACACGGUCCAGACUCCUACGGGAGGCAGCAGUGGGGAAUAUUGGACAAUGGGCGCAAGCCUGAUCCAGCCAUACCGCGUGGGCGAAGAAGGCCUUCGGGUUGUAAAGCCCUUUUGUUGGGAAAGAAAAGCAGCAGGUUAAUACCCCGCUGUUCUGACGGUACCCAAAGAAUAAGCACCGGCUAACUUCGUG
rnacentral:rRNA from 1 species